AACGGACGCUGGCGGCAGGCCUAACACAUGCAAGUCGAGCGAGGACUUCGGUCCUAGCGGCGGACGGGUGAGUAACGCGUGGGAACGUGCCCUUUGCUGCGGAAUAGCCCCGGGAAACUGGGAGUAAUACCGUAUGUGCCCUUCGGGGGAAAGAUUUAUCGGCAAAGGAUCGGCCCGCGUUGGAUUAGGUAGUUGGUGGGGUAAUGGCCUACCAAGCCGACGAUCCAUAGCUGGUUUGAGAGGAUGAUCAGCCACACUGGGACUGAGACACGGCCCAGACUCCUACGGGAGGCAGCAGUGGGGAAUCUUAGACAAUGGGGGAAACCCUGAUCUAGCCAUGCCGCGUGAGCGAUGAAGGCCUUAGGGUUGUAAAGCUCUUUCAGUGGGGAAGAUAAUGACGGUACCCACAGAAGAAGCCCCGGCUAACUCCGUGCCAGCCGCCGCCGUAAAAC
rnacentral:rRNA from 1 species